UCGUGGUGGAGUUGCAAAUAGCUUUUUAUGUUAAGUCUAGGGAUUGUGCCCCCUACAUAUAUCUUUUAUGUUCAGUCAGGAUUUUUCCUAAGAGAUGGUUUUAUCUUAUUUUUUCUCCUUUUUUUUCAGAAGUUUGUUCUUCUUGAUCUAACUAGGAUUCAAAUAUUCAUAGAAACAUCCAUAGAGUGGGAGCUUAAACCCUUAACCCCCUUAGAUUGUUUUACAUGCCAUGGACCCAACUCAAACCAUAAGAGAAGUGCUGACCCCAUACUAGAACCACACAAGCUCUAGUUUGUGAAGGCCCUUUACAAAGACCAAUCCACAUGAAACAAAACAAUAGGCAUAAAAUACAUAAAUUAUGUAGAGCUCCUAGAAGGAGAUCAAUCUCCCAGAUAUGGAGUCCUCCCUUGAUGACUUUGAUCAAUAUCAGAUGAUGAACAUUACUAGUAGGCCACUAAAAGUCUAGACCUUGAGAGAGAAAUAUGUGGCUGAAGAAGAGAAAACUAGCUUUAUCAUUCUAAUGACUUUAUCGCUCCCUCUUCAUUGGUGCAUCACACCACAACUAGCUUGACAAUUCACUAGCUUCAAAUUCGAGUUAAACCAAUAGACAAGAUCCAUUAUAAUGAACAUAUUCUUACUAUAUUUUAUUAUAAAUACAAACUCAUGGAUCAUCACACAAUCAAUCAAGAUUUCUUAACUACAUGUGCAUGUUUCCUCUCUCAUUUUCUCCCUCUAUUUUUCUCCCUCUCCUCUCAUCUUCUUCUCUUCUUUAGAAUUCUUUCAUGGUAUCAAAGUGUGGUUCGAAUGACUGAGCAACAUGCUGCUAUGAAUCAAGUUGUCAUGACGGUUACCAUCAUAGGACAAGUCCCGGUGAUUGUUCCAUUUGGAAUAACUAUAUGGUUCAAGCUUAUGAACAAUAAUUUUCAUUUUUAGAGAAACUCAAUUGUCUUAAUUCUCAAUGGAUACGAUUGAUGAAAUACAUUCAGGAAGAUUCACCACCUAUCUCCUCAAAUGAUGAAACAAGAAAGUGUGAAAGUAAUAUAGAUUUCAAGAUUUGGUGAAAAAUCAAUCAACAAGUAUUUCACUUUCUG
rnacentral:lncRNA from 1 species